rnacentral:rRNA from 1 species
GGGUUGUGAGGUUAAGCGACUAAGCGUACACGGUGGAUGCCCUGGCAGUCAGAGGCGAUGAAGGACGUGCUAAUCUGCGAUAAGCGUCGGUAAGGUGAUAUGAACCGUUAUAACCGGCGAUUUCCGAAUGGGGAAACCCAGUGUGAUUCGUCACACUAUCAUUAACUGAAUCCAUAGGUUAAUGAGGCGAACCGGGGGAACUGAAACAUCUAAGUACCCCGAGGAAAAGAAAUCAACCGAGAUUCCCCCAGUAGCGGCGAGCGAACGGGGAGCAGCCCAGAGCCUGAAUCAGUGUGUGUGUUAGUGGAAGCGUCUGGAAAGGCGCGCGAUACAGGGUGACAGCCCCGUACACAAAAAUGCACAUGCUGUGAGCUCGAUGAGUAGGGCGGGACACGUGGUAUCCUGUCUGAAUAUGGGGGGACCAUCCUCCAAGGCUAAAUACUCCUGACUGACCGAUAGUGAACCAGUACCGUGAGGGAAAGGCGAAAAGAACCCCGGCGAGGGGAGUGAAAAAGAACCUGAAACCGUGUACGUACAAGCAGUGGGAGCACGCUUAGGCGUGUGACUGCGUACCUUUUGUAUAAUGGGUCAGCGACUUAUAUUCUGUAGCAAGGUUAACCGAAUAGGGGAGCCGAAGGGAAACCGAGUCUUAACUGGGCGUUAAGUUGCAGGGUAUAGACCCGAAACCCGGUGAUCUAGCCAUGGGCAGGUUGAAGGUUGGGUAACACUAACUGGAGGACCGAACCGACUAAUGUUGAAAAAUUAGCGGAUGACUUGUGGCUGGGGGUGAAAGGCCAAUCAAACCGGGAGAUAGCUGGUUCUCCCCGAAAGCUAUUUAGGUAGCGCCUCGUGAAUUCAUCUCCGGGGGUAGAGCACUGUUUCGGCAAGGGGGUCAUCCCGACUUACCAACCCGAUGCAAACUGCGAAUACCGGAGAAUGUUAUCACGGGAGACACACGGCGGGUGCUAACGUCCGUCGUGAAGAGGGAAACAACCCAGACCGCCAGCUAAGGUCCCAAAGUCAUGGUUAAGUGGGAAACGAUGUGGGAAGGCCCAGACAGCCAGGAUGUUGGCUUAGAAGCAGCCAUCAUUUAAAGAAAGCGUAAUAGCUCACUGGUCGAGUCGGCCUGCGCGGAAGAUGUAACGGGGCUAAACCAUGCACCGAAGCUGCGGCAGCGACGCUUAUGCGUUGUUGGGUAGGGGAGCGUUCUGUAAGCCUGUGAAGGUGUGCUGUGAGGCAUGCUGGAGGUAUCAGAAGUGCGAAUGCUGACAUAAGUAACGAUAAAGCGGGUGAAAAGCCCGCUCGCCGGAAGACCAAGGGUUCCUGUCCAACGUUAAUCGGGGCAGGGUGAGUCGACCCCUAAGGCGAGGCCGAAAGGCGUAGUCGAUGGGAAACAGGUUAAUAUUCCUGUAUCUUGGUGUUACUGCGAAGGGGGGACGGAGAAGGCUAUGUUGGCGGGCGACGGUUGUCCCGGUUUAAGCGUGUAGGCUGGUUUUCCAGGCAAAUCCGGAAAAUCAAGGCUGAGGCGUGAUGACGAGGCACUACGGUGCUGAGCAACAAAUGCCCUGCUUCCAGGAAAAGCCUCUAAGCAUCAGGUAACAUCAAAUCGUACCCCAAACCGACACAGGUGGUCAGGUAGAGAAUACCAAGGCGCUUGAGAGAACUCGGGUGAAGGAACUAGGCAAAAUGGUGCCGUAACUUCGGGAGAAGGCACGCUGAUAUGUAGGUGAAGUCCCUUGCGGAUGGAGCUGAAAUCAGUCGAAGAUACCAGCUGGCUGCAACUGUUUAUUAAAAACACAGCACUGUGCAAACACGAAAGGUGGACGUAUACGGUGUGACGCCUGCCCGGUGCCGGAAGGUUAAUUGAUGGGGUCAGCGCAAGCGAAGCUCUUGAUCGAAGCCCCCGGUAAACGGCGGCCGUAACUAUAACGGUCUAAGGUAGCGAAAUUCCUUGUCGGGUAAGUUCCGACCUGCACGAAUGGCGUAAUGAUGGCCAGGCUGUCUCCACCCGAGACUCAGUGAAAUUGAACUCGCUGUGAAGAUGCAGUGUACCCGCGGCAAGACGGAAAGACCCCGUGAACCUUUACUAUAGCUUGACACUGAACAUUGAGCCUUGAUGUGUAGGAUAGGUGGGAGGCUUGGAAGUGUGGACGCCAGUCUGCAUGGAGCCGACCUUGAAAUACCACCCUUUAAUGUUGAUGUUCUAACGUUGACCCGUAAUCCGGGUUGCGGACAGUGUCUGGUGGGUAGUUUGACUGGGCGCGUUCUCCUGCCUAAAGAGUAACGGAGGAGCACGAGAGGUUGGCUAAUCCUGGUCGGACAUCAGGAGGUUAGUGCAAUGGCAUAAGCCAGCUUGACUGCGAGCGUGACGGCGCGAGCAGGUGCGAAAGCAGGUCAUAGUGAUCCGGUGGUUCUGAAUGGAAGGGCCAUCGCUCAACGGAUAAAAGGUACUCCGGGGAUAACAGGCUGAUACCGCCCAACGAGUUCAUAUCGACGGCGGUGUUUGGCACCUCGAUGUCGGCUCAUCACAUCCUGCGGGCUGAAGUAGGUCCCAGGGUAUGGCUGUUCGCCAUUUAAAGUGGUACGCGAGCUGGUUUAGAACGUCGUGAGACAGUUCGGUCCCUAUCUGCCGUGGGCGCUGGAGAACUGAGGGGGCUGCUCCUAGUACGAGAGGACCGGAGUGGACGCAUCACUGGUGUUCGGGUUCUGACCGAUAGUGAACCAGUACCGUGAGGAAAGGCGAAAAGAACCCCGCGAGGGGAGUGAAAAAGAACCUGAAACCGUGUACGUACAAGCAGUGGGAGCACGCUUAGGCGUGUGACUGCGUACCUUUUGUAUAAUGGGUCAGCGACUUAUAUUCUGUAGCAAGGUUAACCGAAUAGGGGAGCCGAAGGGAAACCGAGUCUUAACUGGGCGUUAAGUUGCAGGGUAUAGACCCGAAACCCGGUGAUCUAGCCAUGGGCAGGUUGAAGUGGGUAACACUAACUGGAGGACCGAACCGACUAAUGUUGAAAAAUUAGCGGAUGACUGUGGCUGGGGGUGAAAGGCCAAUCAAACCGGAGAUAGCUGGUUCUCCCCGAAAGCUAUUUAGGUAGCGCCUCGUGAAUUCAUCUCGGGGGUAGAGCACUGUUUCGGCAAGGGGGUCAUCCCGACUUACCAACCCGAUGCAAACUGCGAAUACCGGAGAAUGUUAUCACGGGAGACACACGGCGGGUGCUAACGUCCGUCGUGAAGAGGGAAACAACCCAGACCGCCAGCUAAGGUCCCAAAGUCAUGGUUAAGUGGGAAACGAUGUGGGAAGGCCCAGACAGCCAGGAUGUUGGCUUAGAAGCAGCCAUCAUUUAAAGAAAGCGUAAUAGCUCACUGGUCGAGUCGGCCUGCGCGGAAGAUGUAACGGGGCUAAACCAUGCACCGAAGCUGCGGCAGCGACGCUUAUGCGUUGUUGGGUAGGGGAGCGUUCUGUAAGCCUGUGAAGGUGUGCUGUGAGGCAUGCUGGAGGUAUCAGAAGUGCGAAUGCUGACAUAAGUAACGAUAAAGCGGGUGAAAAGCCCGCUCGCCGGAAGACCAAGGGUUCCUGUCCAACGUUAAUCGGGCAGGGUGAGUCGACCCCUAAGGCGAGGCCGAAAGGCGUAGUCGAUGGGAAACAGGUUAAUAUUCCUGUACUUGGUGUUACUGCGAAGGGGGGACGGAGAAGGCUAUGUUGGCCGGGCGACGGUUGUCCCGGUUUAAGCGUGUAGGCUGGUUUUCCAGGCAAAUCCGGAAAAUCAAGGCUGAGGCGUGAUGACGAGGCACUACGGUGCUGAAGCAACAAUGCCCUGCUUCCAGGAAAAGCCUCUAAGCAUCAGGUAACAUCAAAUCGUACCCCAAACCGACACAGGUGGUCAGGUAGAGAAUACCAAGGCGCUUGAGAGAACUCGGGUGAAGGAACUAGGCAAAAUGGUGCCGUAACUUCGGGAGAAGCACGCUGAUAUGUAGGUGAAGUCCCUUGCGGAUGGAGCUGAAAUCAGUCGAAGAUACCAGCUGGCUGCAACUGUUAUUAAAAACACAGCACUGUGCAAACACGAAAGUGGACGUAUACGGUGUGACGCCUGCCCGGUGCCGGAAGGUUAAUUGAUGGGGUCAGCGCAAGCGAAGCUCUUGAUCGAAGCCCCGGUAAACGGCGGCCGUAACUAUAACGGUCCUAAGGUAGCGAAAUUCCUUGUCGGUAAGUUCCGACCUGCACGAAUGGCGUAAUGAUGGCCAGGCUGUCUCCACCCGAGACUCAGUGAAAUUGAACUCGCUGUGAAGAUGCAGUGUACCCGCGGCAAGACGGAAAGACCCCGUGAACCUUUACUAUAGCUUGACACUGAACAUUGAGCCUUGAUGUGUAGGAUAGGUGGGAGGCUUGGAAGUGUGGACGCCAGUCUGCAUGGAGCCGACCUUGAAAUACCACCCUUUAAUGUUUGAUGUUCUAACGUUGACCCGUAAUCCGGGUUGCGGACAGUGUCUGGUGGGUAGUUUGACUGGGGCGGUCUCCUCCUAAAGAGUAACGGAGGAGCACGAAGGUUGGCUAAUCCUGGUCGGACAUCAGGAGGUUAGUGCAAUGGCAUAAGCCAGCUUGACUGCGAGCGUGACGGCGCGAGCAGGUGCGAAAGCAGGUCAUAGUGAUCCGGUGGUUCUGAAUGGAAGGGCCAUCGCUCAACGGAUAAAAGGUACUCCGGGGAUAACAGGCUGAUACCGCCCAAGAGUUCAUAUCGACGGCGGUGUUUGGCACCUCGAUGUCGGCUCAUCACAUCCUGGGGCUGAAGUAGGUCCCAAGGGUAUGGCUGUUCGCCAUUUAAAGUGGUACGCGAGCUGGGUUUAGAACGUCGUGAGACAGUUCGGUCCCUAUCUGCCGUGGGCGCUGGAGAACUGAGGGGGGCUGCUCCUAGUACGAGAGGACCGGAGUGGACGCAUCACUGGUGUUCGGGUUGUCAUGCCAAUGGCACUGCCCGGUAGCUAAAUGCGGAAGAGAUAAGUGCUGAAAGCAUCUAAGCACGAAACUUGCCCCGAGAUGAGUUCUCCCUGACUCCUUGAGAGUCCUGAAGGAACGUUGAAGACGACGACGUUGAUAGGCCGGGUGUGUAAGCGCAGCGAUGCGUUGAGCUAACCGGUACUAAUGAACCGUGAGGCUUAACCUUACAACGCCGAAG